rnacentral:rRNA from 1 species
UACAGAGGGUGCGAGCGUUAAUCGGAAUUACUGGGCGUAAAGGGCGCGUAGGCGGUUAAUUAAGUUGGAUGUGAAAUCCCUGGGCUUAACCUAGGAACUGCAUCCAAAACUGGUUAGCUAGAGUGCAGUAGAGGAUAGUGGAAUUUCCGGUGUAGCGGUGAAAUGCGUAGAUAUCGGAAGGAACACCAGUGGCGAAGGCGGCUAUCUGGACUGACACUGACGCUGAGGCGCGAGAGCGUGGGGAGCAAACAGG